rnacentral:tRNA from 1 species
UGGGUUGUGGCUCAAUGGUAGAGCACACACUUAGCAUGUGUGAGGCGUUGGGUUUGAUCCUUAACACCACAU